GUAUUUACAAAUUAGCACAGCAUUCAGAACAGUAGCACCUGGAGUCUGGGGAGCCUAUUCUGAAAUGAAAUCAUCCAAAUUACUCUUACAUCAGUAUAGCUACACAUCUAGACAUUUUGAUAAUUCCUUCAGGAGUCCUGUGAUUCUGGAAAAACAAGCAAGAGAGUCAAAUUGUCUAAACGUAAUUUCUGCUUUCAUGGAUCACAAACAAGAAAGUGAACACAAAGGUCUGGCUAUGUUUUUGGAAGAGAAGAAGGAAAACUCCAAGAAGGGCAAAACAAAUAGAUGUUUUAGAAAAUUAUCUCAUAUAUUUGGACUUUGGGCAUGUGGGCGAAACCCUCCCCUAAACAGUGUAUGCUUAAUUCUGGAGCUCUGAGGGGGUUGGAACAUGAAAUCAGGGGCCCAGAUAAUUAUGAUUGAUUUUAGAUUUUAAGUGAAAUUUCAGGUGUUGGUCCAGUCUAUCCAUUCAGCUCAGUAAAAAACCAACAGAGAUAGUGACUCAAGGUUCUUCUUCUGGCCAAGAAUGAAGUCAGUGCGUUGGGUUGGUGCAUCCCUAAGGUGUAUCUCUUGGGAAUUAGUGUUUCCUACAAACUCCAGCCUAGGCCCCUGGAAGACCCGCUUGCUGCUCCAGACACACUUAACAUAUUGACAAAAUUAAACAUGUUCACAGGUGAGCUUCUUCCUUCCUUCAUAUAUUCACUUAUUCAUUCAACAAAUUAUUUGUUGAGUGCCAUGCACUGUACUAGGUGCUGGGUGUGCACUGGUGCCUAAAAUAGACGUGGGGUUUUCCUUUGGAACUUAUGAUCUAGUGGGCAAGGAUAUCCAAUAUACAAGAAAACAAUAUAAAUUACAAAUUGUGCUAAGGGAGUGAACACAGAGAAUGAGAAGGACACUCAAAGAACCUAAAACACAAUUGUGUCUAGAAAGACUAAAGGAAUUAGGAAGAUUGUUGUCUUUUUCAUAGAAGUAUCAGAAGAAGUUCUUACCUAUGUGUAAACUUUAGAGGAUGUUGUAUGAAAAAAGUGCUUUUUAUUCUUCAUUAAUACUAAGGAGUUGAGCUGGCAUUAAAACCUGCAAGUUUUGAGGAGAUCUGUGUUGGAUUCACCUGAUGAAGAAUUUUUGUGCUGUGAAAGAAUGGAAUGAGUUGUUCAGGGAGGGUCAGAUCAUCAUCAGUUCGCUUGAUUAAAAACAGACAUAAUUACUGCUCAAUAGUAAAAAAAAAAAAAAAGUAAAUAUGCCACAUGAAUGAGUCUCAAAAGCAUAGCGCUGAGUGAAAGAUGCCUUAUACAAAAGGCUACUUAUUGUAUGAUUCCAUUAACUUGAAACUCUAGAUUAGGCUUAAUUAAUCACUGGGGGAUAACUGGGACAAUCAUUGC
rnacentral:lncRNA from 13 species